rnacentral:rRNA from 1 species
CCUACGGGGGGCAGCAGUGGGGAAUAUUGGACAAUGGGCGAAAGCCUGAUCCAGCCAUGCCGCGUGUGUGAAGAAGGCCUUCGGGUUGUAAAGCACUUUCAGUGGGGAAGAAAGCCUUGGGGCUAAUACCCUCGAGGAAGGACAUCACCCACAGAAGAAGCACCGGCUAACUCCGUGCCAGCAGCCGCGGUAAUACGGAGGGUGCGAGCGUUAAUCGGAAUUACUGGGCGUAAAGCGCGCGUAGGCGGUCUGAUAAGCCGGUUGUGAAAGCCCCCGGCUCAACCUGGGAACGGCAUCCGGAACUGUCAGGCUAGAGUGCAGGAGAGGAAGGUAGAAUUCCCGGUGUAGCGGUGAAAUGCGUAGAGAUCGGGAGGAAUACCAGUGGCGAAGGCGGCCUUCUGGACUGACACUGACGCUGAGGUGCGAAAGCGUGGGUAGCAAACAGGAUUAGAUACCCGAGUAGUC